rnacentral:rRNA from 1 species
GAACGCUGGCGGCGUGCUUAACACAUGCAAGUCGAACGAUGAAGCCCAGCUUGCUGGGUGGAUUAGUGGCGAACGGGUGAGUAACACGUGAGUAACCUGCCCUUGACUCUGGGAUAAGCGUUGGAAACGACGUCUAAUACCGGAUACGAGCUUCCACCGCAUGGUGAGUUGCUGGAAAGAAUUUUGGUCAAGGAUGGACUCGCGGCCUAUCAGCUUGUUGGUGAGGUAACGGCUCACCAAGGCGACGACGGGUAGCCGGCCUGAGAGGGUGACCGGCCACACUGGGACUGAGACACGGCCCAGACUCCUACGGGAGGCAGCAGUGGGGAAUAUUGCACAAUGGGCGAAAGCCUGAUGCAGCAACGCCGCGUGAGGGACGACGGCCUUCGGGUUGUAAACCUCUUUUAGCAGGGAAGAAGCGAAAGUGACGGUACCUGCAGAAAAAGCACCGGCUAACUACGUGCCAGCAGCCGCGGUAAUACGUAGGGUGCAAGCGUUGUCCGGAAUUAUUGGGCGUAAAGAGCUCGUAGGCGGUUUGUCGCGUCUGCUGUGAAAUCCCGAGGCUCAACCUCGGGUCUGCAGUGGGUACGGGCAGACUAGAGUGCGGUAGGGGAGAUUGGAAUUCCUGGUGUAGCGGUGGAAUGCGCAGAUAUCAGGAGGAACACCGAUGGCGAAGGCAGAUCUCUGGGCCGCUACUGACGCUGAGGAGCGAAAGGGUGGGGAGCAAACAGGCUUAGAUACCCUGGUAGUCCACCCCGUAAACGUUGGGCGCUAGAUGUGGGGACCAUUCCACGGUUUCCGUGUCGUAGCUAACGCAUUAAGCGCCCCGCCUGGGGAGUACGGCCGCAAGGCUAAAACUCAAAGGAAUUGACGGGGGCCCGCACAAGCGGCGGAGCAUGCGGAUUAAUUCGAUGCAACGCGAAGAACCUUACCAAGGCUUGACAUAUACGAGAACGGGCCAGAAAUGGUCAACUCUUUGGACACUCGUAAACAGGUGGUGCAUGGUUGUCGUCAGCUCGUGUCGUGAGAUGUUGGGUUAAGUCCCGCAACGAGCGCAACCCUCGUUCUAUGUUGCCAGCACGUAAUGGUGGGAACUCAUGGGAUACUGCCGGGGUCAACUCGGAGGAAGGUGGGGACGACGUCAAAUCAUCAUGCCCCUUAUGUCUUGGGCUUCACGCAUGCUACAAUGGCCAGUACAAAGGGCUGCAAUACCGUAAGGUGGAGCGAAUCCCAAAAAGCUGGUCCCAGUUCGGAUUGAGGUCUGCAACUCGACCUCAUGAAGUCGGAGUCGCUAGUAAUCGCAGAUCAGCAACGCUGCGGUGAAUACGUUCCCGGGCCUUGUACACACCGCCCGUCAAGUCAUGAAAGUCGGUAACACCCGAAGCCAGUGGCCUAACCGCAAGGAUGGAGCUGUCUAA